rnacentral:lncRNA from 1 species
CGACAAGACGGGAGCCGGCAGCUUCGCUCCGGCCGAGGCCUUGCACCGAGGCGGGCGCGGAGCUGCGGGGGUGGCGGGAGCGGAGGAGGCGGGACGCGAGUCGCGCCGGUGACGGACCGGGACUCCCUCGCGCUGCCCUGCGCGUACUGUCGUGCAAGCGCGGGCUGCGUGUGCGUCCGUCGCACUUUGAAUUCGUCAUCACCUCGGCUCCGGGCGGGGAAGGGGUGUGGAGUCUGUUGGCGGCUUCUGGAGCCAGACUGGACUCUGAUCCCGGAGCUCGUCCUUUCCCGUGCGAGCCUUCUCCGGACGCUUUAGGGAGGACCUUUGCAGUCGGCCCUGGGGGCGCGGGCUGCUGGCGUCCUCCUCGUCCUCCCCCCGCCCUCCUCCUCCUCCUCCUCUUCUUCCCUUGGCCUGAAAUAGAGAAGUUUCUGAGAGAGGACCGUUUGGACCGCGAGGUUGGCGGGAUGCAGUGAGGCACGCAAUGGCCGGGCAAGUCUAAAACCCUCGACGCGGUGUUCACGCGUGGCACUGCUCCCCGGGAUCAUUCUGAGCACUCACCUCACAAUAAUCAGCGGUUAUCUCCCUUUCUCUGUCGGUUAUCAAAGCUGAUCGUCUGUAGCCCUAGGCUGCCUCACAAUGUUGCUCUGACUGGCUGAAGCAACGUAUGCGAGAAGCUGGGAUCUUUCUUAACCCACACCAGAGACAAGUGCUCGCAAAGACAUACCUGAAAUCAUUCACCAACAAAACUCGGAAGCAUGUAAAAACAAAGCAGUUGCUGUUUCUAAAUACCAGAAUGCAAUCCUUUCAAGCAUCUAGAUGGAGCCCAUGAGCUCCAAGCAGAGCAGGU